AGUGAACGCUGGCGGCAGGCUUAACACAUGCAAGUCGAACGCCCCGCAAGGGGAGUGGCAGACGGGUGAGUAACGCGUGGGAAUCUACCCAGAUCUUCGGAACAACUGAGGGAAACUUCAGCUAAUACCGGAUACGCCCUACGGGGGAAAGAUUUAUCGGUUCUGGAUGAGCCCGCGUUGGAUUAGCUAGUUGGUGGGGUAAUGGCCUACCAAGGCGACGAUCCAUAGCUGGUCUGAGAGGAUGAUCAGCCACACUGGGACUGAGACACGGCCCAGACUCCUACGGGGGGCAGCAGUGGGGAAUAUUGGACAAUGGGCGAAAGCCUGAUCCAGCCAUGCCGCGUGAGUGAUGAAGGCCUUAGGGUUGUAAAGCUCUUUCAGUAGGGAAGAUAAUGACGGUACCUACAGAAGAAGCCCCGGCUAACUUCGUGCCAGCCGCCGCCGUAACAC
rnacentral:rRNA from 1 species